AAUGAACGUUGGCGGCGUGGAUUAGGCAUGCAAGUCGAGCGCGAGGCCCCGCAAGGGGUCAAAAGCGGCGAAAGGGAGAGUAACGCGUGGGCCAUCUGCCCAGGGGUCCGGGAUAGCUACGGGAAACUGUAGGUAAUACCGGAUAAUGUCUCCGGACCAAAGGUGUGAUUCCACCCCUAGAGGAGCCCGCGUCCUAUUAGCUAGUUGGCAGGGUAACGGCCUACCAAGGCGAUGAUGGGUACUGGGUGUGAGAGCACGACCCAGCUCACUGGGACUGAGACACUGCCCAGACACCUACGGGUGGCUGCAGUCGAGGAUCUUCGGCAAUGGGCGCAAGCCUGACCGAGCGACGCCGCGUGCGGGAUGAAGGCCUUCGGGUUGUAAACCGCUGUCAGAGGGGAUGAAGUACCGGGAGGUUCUCCUCUCGGCUUGACAGAUCCUCAGAGGAAGGACGGGCUAAGUUCGUG
rnacentral:rRNA from 1 species